UACGUAGGUGGCAAGCGUUGUCCGGAAUUAUUGGGCGUAAAGCGCGCGCAGGCGGUCCUUUAAGUCUGAUGUGAAAGCCCACGGCUCAACCGUGGAGGGUCAUUGGAAACUGAGGGACUUGAGUGCAGGAGAGAAGAGUGGAAUUCCACGUGUAGCGGUGAAAAUGCGUAGAGAUGUGGAGGAACACCAGUGGCGAAGGCGACUCUUUGGCCUGUAACUGACGCUGAGGCGCGAAAGCGUGGGGAGCAAACAGGGAUUAGAAACCCGAUGAGUCCCAGUACCGGAACUCACAGA
rnacentral:rRNA from 1 species